rnacentral:rRNA from 1 species
AGGCAAUGAUAGGUAGGCGGCCUUAACGGGUGGUCGCCCACACUGGGAUUGAGAUACGGCCCAGACUCCUACGGGAGGCAGCAGUCGAGAAUAGUCUACAAUGGUCGGAAGACUGAUAGUGCGACGCCGCGUGAACGAUGAAUCCCUUCGGGGUGUAAAGUUCUUUUAUAUGUGAGCAGUGCUUCUUAUAUUAAGAGUAUGGGGAGAGAUAUUAGCAUAUGAAUAAGCAACGGCUAACUCCGUGCCAGCAGCCGCGGUAACACGGGGGUUGCGAGCGUUGUCCGGAAUUACUAGGCGUAAAGGGCAGGCAGGCGGAUCCAUAAGUUUAUCGUUUAAGGCGUCGGCUUAACCGGCGUAGGGCGGUAGAUACUGUGGAUCUGGAAUGCGGUUGGGGAAGACAGAAUUCCUGGUGUAGCGGUGGAAUGCGCAGAGAUCAGGAGGAAUACCGAAGGCGAAGGCAGUCUUCCAAGCCGUUAUUGACGCUCAACUGCGAAGGUGUGGGUAUCAAACAGGAUUAGAUACCCUGGUAGUCCACACAGUAAACGAUAAUCACUGGGUGUCGGGUUCGCAUAGGAUUCGGUGCCGUAGCUAACGC